GAUGAACGCUGGCGGCGUGCCUAAUACAUGCAAGUCGAGCGAACAGACGAGGAGCUUGGUCCUCUGACGUUAGCGGCGGACGGGUGAGUAACACGUGGAUAACCUACCUAUAAGACUGGGAUAACUUCGGGAAACCGGAGCUAAUACCGGAUAAUAUAUUGAACCGCAUGGUUCAAUAGUGAAAGACGGUUUUGCUGUCACUUAUAGAUGGAUCCGCGCCGCAUUAGCUAGUUGGUAAGGUAACGGCUUACCAAGGCAACGAUGCGUAGCCGACCUGAGAGGGUGAUCGGCCACACUGGAACUGAGACACGGUCCAGACUCCUACGGGAGGCAGCAGUAGGGAAUCUUCCGCAAUGGGCGAAAGCCUGACGGAGCAAUGCCGCGUGAGUGAUGAAGGUCUUCGGAUCGUAAAACUCUGUUAUUAGGGAAGAACAAAUGUGUAAGUAACUAUGCACGUCUUGACGGUACCUAAUCAGAAAGCCACGGCUAACUACGUG
rnacentral:rRNA from 1 species